rfam:Trichobilharzia regenti genome assembly, scaffold: TRE_contig0002044
AUUCACGUGAUGAAUCCCAAACAGAACGAAAUGCGCAUCCAGAAU